rnacentral:ncRNA from 2 species
UCGACCAUGCUGGGGUGCCGAAAGGCUGAGAUAAUACCCAUGAACCUGAUCCAGUUAGUACUGGCGUAGGAAGCUUGGUUUUGUUUAUU